CAGUAACGGCGAGUGAAGCGGGAAGAGCUCAAAUUUGAAAUCUUCGGAAUUGUAGUUUAGAGAAGGAGCAUAGCUUAGCGAUCCGGUUCAAGUUCCUUGGAACAGGACCCCAGAGAGCGUGACAGGCGCGUAGAGCCGCGGUCGCNAAGCGUACCAUGCCCUUUCGACGAGUCGGGUUGUUCGGGAUUGCAGCCCAAACUGGGUGGUAAAUUUCAUCUAAAGCUAAAUAUUGGCACAAGACCGAUAGCGAACAAGUACUGUGAAGGAAAGAUGAAAAGCACUUUGAAAAGAGAGUUAAAAGUACGUGAAACCGUCCUAAAGGAAGCGAUUGGAGUCAGCAGUGCAGCGGCCAUUAUCAGCGACUAACCCAGGACAAAGGAGAUCGCAAGACUCCUCGGGACGGGGUGCGGUCGUUCACUAUUGGUCUGCAGCGAGUCAACCGCGGUUUGGAGGGGACUUGAGAGGGGGUGAGAAGGUAGCCGCUUCGGCGGUGUUACAGCUCGCACUCUGUAGUCCCUUUUGGAUCGUUGCAAGGUGGAGUUACCGGAGCCUGACGACUUGUGAGCAUCUUGCCGGACUGCACGCAGUGCGGUGGGGUAGUGAGCCGGUCCGAGGGUGAGGAUAGAACACCUCUGGGUUGACGAAAUGGCUUUAACCGACCCGUCUUGAAACACGGACCAAGGAGUCUAACAUAUGAGCGAGUGUUUGGGUGUCAAACCCUCACGCGAAGUGAAAGCAAAAGGGGAGGUUACCCUCGACCGAACUGGAUAUUCUUUGAAAGUUUUGAGUUAGAGCUCAUCUGUUGGGACCCGAAAGAUGGUGAACUAUGCCUGAAUAGGGUGAAGUCAGAGGAAACUCUGAUGGAAGCUCGUAGCGGUUCUGACGUGCAAAUCGAUCGUCAAAUUUGGGUAUAGGGGCGAAAGACUAAUCGAACCAUCUAGUAGCUGGUUCCCACCGAAGUUUCCCUCAGGAUAGCUGGAACUUAGACAGUUUUAUCAGGUAAAGCGAAUGAUUAGAGGAUUCUGUGGCGAAAUGCUGUAGACCUAUUCUCAAACUUUAAAUAGGUAAGAUGCCCGACUUGCUUAGGUGAAGCCGGGCACUGAAUGUGAGUUCCAUGUGGGCCAUUUUUGGUAAGCAGAACUGGCGAUGCGGGAUGAUCCGAACGCGGGAGUUAAGGCGCCAAAAUCGACGCUCAUCAGACCCCAUAAAAGGUGUUGGUUGAUCUAGACAGCAGGACGGUGGCCAUGGAAGUCGGAAUCCGCUAAGGAGUGUGUAACAACCCACCUGCCGAAUCAACUAGCCCUGAAAAUUGAUGGCGCUUAAGCGUCGUGCCUAUACUCCGCCGUUGGCGCAAAUGCGAGGCGCCAACGAGUAGGUGGGCGUGGAGGUCGUGACGAAGCCGAGGCGUGAGCCUAGGUGAAACGGCCUCUGGUGCAGAUCUUGGUGGUAGUAGCAAAUAUUCAAAUGAGAACUUUGAAGACUGAAGUGGAGAAAGGUUCCAUGUGAACAGCAGUUGGACAUGGGUUAGUCGAUCCUAAGAGAUAGGGAAACUCCGUUUUAAGACGCGCGAUUCGUUGCGCUGCCUAUCGAAAGGGAAUCGGGUUAAUAUUCCCGAACCGGGACGAGGAUAGUUUUGCGGCGACGCAACUGAACUUGGAGACGCCGGCGGGGGCCCUGGGAAGAGUUCUCUUUUCUUUUUAACGCACUAUAGCCCUGGAAUCGGAUUAUCCGGAGAUAGGGUCUAAUGUGAGGUAAAGCAGCACACUUCAUGUGCUGUCCGGUGCGCCCCCGACGGCCCUUGAAAAUCCAAGGGAAAGAAUGAUUUUCUCGCCCGGUCGUACUCAUAACCGCAGCAGGUCUCCUAGGUUAACAGCCUCUAG
rnacentral:rRNA from 1 species